rnacentral:rRNA from 1 species
CCUACGGGAGGCAGCAGUGGGGAAUAUUGCACAAUGGGGGAAACCCUGAUGCAGCGACGCCGCGUGGAGGAAGAAGGUCUUCGGAUUGUAAACUCCUGUUGUUGAGGAAGAUAAUGACGGUACUCAACAAGGAAGUGACGGCUAACUACGUGCCAGCAGCCGCGGUAAAACGUAGGUCACAAGCGUUGUCCGGAAUUACUGGGUGUAAAGGGAGCGCAGGCGGGAAGACAAGUUGGAAGUGAAAUCUAUGGGCUCAACCCAUAAACUGCUUUCAAAACUGUUUUUCUUGAGUAGUGCAGAGGUAGGCGGAAUUCCCGGUGUAGCGGUGGAAUGCGUAGAUAUCGGGAGGAACACCAGUGGCGAAGGCGGCCUACUGGGCACCAACUGACGCUGAGGCUCGAAAGUGUGGGUAGCAAACAGGAUUAGAUACCCUGGUAGUCCACACCGUAAACGAUGAUUACUAGGUGUUGGAGGAUUGACCCCUUCAGUGCCGCAGUUAACACAAUAAGUAAUCCACCUGGGGAGUACGACCGCAAGGUUGAAACUCAAAGGAAUUGACGGGGGCCCGCACAAGCAGUGGAGUAUGUGGUUUAAUUCGACGCAACGCGAAGAACCUUACCAAGUCUUGACAUCCCUUGACGAUGCUGGAAACAGUAUUUCUCUUCGGAGCAAGGAGACAGGUGGUGCAUGGUUGUCGUCAGCUCGUGUCGUGAGAUGUUGGGUUAAGUCCCGCAACGAGCGCAACCCUUAUGGUCAGUUACUACGCAAGAGGACUCUGGCCAGACUGCCGUUGACAAAACGGAGGAAGGUGGGGAUGACGUCAAAUCAUCAUGCCCUUUAUGACUUGGGCUACACACGUACUACAAUGGCGUUAAACAAAGAGAAGCAAGACCGCGAGGUGGAGCAAAACUCAAAAACAACGUCUCAGUUCAGAUUGCAGGCUGCAACUCGCCUGCAUGAAGUCGGAAUUGCUAGUAAUC